CCAAUAACGUUACGCGAGAGCGUUACAUUGUUGCAGAGGGUGGCGCUUAUGAGUUUCCUUCAAAACUCGGUUUGAGCAGAGUACGUAGCACCUCUCCUAUGCGGGCAGUUAUUUUUCAUCGCUAAGCCAGUUCACGMUUUAUUUGUCAUAUCAGUAUAUCUUGAGAGAUUUCGUUAACUGAGACGGACGGCAGACACAUUUAUAGCCCUUGCCCAGCAAAGCAUUAUGCUAGGCAAUUUUUUUUUUAUCUCAAAUUUUCUAUGGUUUUUGAGUGGUAGUCUAUACCACAUGCAGUUCGCUUCAGUGGAGCGUUUUAAUUUCACGGGAUAUAGAAAAUAGAUUUUGUUUAACCUACUGAGUGUGUAUGUUAUUGUGCUGGUCUGUGCCUAUGACAGACGUUUAAGUUAUUAUUUAGGUGCGUCUAUAAAGUAAAGACUGCAAGCAAUUGCCGUUAAACUUGAUUUGUUAACUUAUUGUUGGCUCAAGUCGCUAUCAGAAUGACCGAGGACAAUGUCACAAGUAAAAGUAUUGAAAUCGUCAAAGAUCAACUGUAUUUCGCCAUACUGCAGCAGAAGAUUAAAAGCACAGCUGACAGACAUUUCUUCUGCAUAGACGAAGAGCUGUCAUAUGAGAACUUCUAUGCAGACUUUGGCCCGCUCAACCUGGCCAUGUUCUAUCGCUUUUGUUGCAAACUCACUAAAAAGCUCAAGUCAUUCACACUAGCAAAGAAGAAGAUAGUCUUCUAUACCUGUGGAGAUAAUAAGAAACAAGCCAAUGCUGCCUAUCUUAUUGGUUCAUAUGCAGUGAUGCAUUUGCAGAAGACGCCAGAGGAAGCCUACAGUCUACUGGUGUCCAGGAACUCUACCUACCUGUCCUUCAGAGAUGCCUCUUUUGGAACUUGUAUGUACAAUCUGAACAUUCUAGACUGCCUGCGCGCCAUAUACAAGGCUCUGCAGUUUGGCUGGCUUGAUUUCUCCCAGUUUGAUGUGGAGGAAUACGAGCAUUAUGAGAGAGCAGAAAAUGGAGAUUUCAACUGGAUUAUUCCUGGGAAGUUCUUAGCGUUUAGUGGCCCUCAUCCAAAAAGCAAAAUAGAGAACGGUUACCCUCUCCAUGCCCCCGAGGCCUACUUUCCUUAUUUCAGGAAACACAACAUCACAGCCAUCGUCCGUCUCAACAAGAAGAUGUACGAUGCCAAGCGCUUCACUGACAUGGGCUUCGAGCACCACGACCUCUUCUUCGUGGACGGAAGCACGCCAAAUGACUCCAUCGUCAGGAAGUUCCUCAACAUCUGUGAGAACGCAGAUGGAGCUAUCGCUGUUCACUGCAAAGCGGGUCUGGGUCGAACAGGCACUCUGAUAGGCUGUUACAUGAUGAAGCACUACCGUCUGACUGCGUCUGAGGCCAUCGCCUGGAUGAGGAUCUGCCGGCCUGGAUCAGUCAUCGGACCACAACAAAACUUUGUGGAAGAUAAGCAGAUCAGCCUGUGGUCGGAGGGAGAUGUUUUCCGGGAGAAGAUGAACGAGCAGGAGAACGGCAAGCUGGCCGUCACCAGAAUACUGUCGGGGGUUGAUGACAUCACUAUCAACGGCAGCAACAAAAGCAGGGGGUCCAAAAAGGAAGAGGCAGAACUGUAUAGUGACGAUGAGGAGAGGAAUGGCAUCACCCAGGGUGAUAAACUGCGAGCCCUGAAGAGCAAGAGGCAGGCAAGAACAUCCACAGGUUCCCUAUCACAAGAAGAGAACAAGAUUCACACCAGGUCCUCAUCGCAGUCUUUAAGGAUUCUCCUGCAGUCUAGUGGGCCUGAUGCCUCAGACAAUAGGAAGAGAACCAGAUCCUCGCUGCCUGCCAACAGUGUGGGGGGCAGCUCCCUGUGCAGCUCCAGACUAGCCAGGUCUCUAGGCAGCAUGCAUGUAGUGGCCAGCGACAGAGAGCCAGUGUGCUGUGAGUCCAGUGGCUGCCAUAGAGACACAGCCACCAACGCAGGCAGCACAGGCAACCUGCCGAACCUAAACAUGCUGCAGGCCCCUCAGAAGGCAAGCCCACCUAGCCUCUCCUCAACCCCUUUCUCUGGGCUUAACCUCACUCUCUCCUACUCUGUUGGUCCUCCACAUACCAAGGUCUGCUUAACUGAGCAUUUCACAUGAUCUUCCAAAAACUUUCAAGCUCUCAACGCUCCAGCUCAAACACUUGGAACACUCUGCAGCGCUUCACACUCCCUAUGGCUCCUUGCAUGUUCUAUUAGAAUGGCUGAUCCAGAAGUAUGACUGGCUAUAGCUUCUCUGGACUUUACUGCUCACAUGGUCUCCUUGCUUUCAGACACUGGCAACCUGUCAUUGGCUGUUUGGGAUUCUGCUAACAUGAAUCAUUGUUCUACAAGGGGAAUCACAUGUCCCUUUCCUUUCCCUUGUUUUCUUUUUUGUAAUUUCCCUCUUAACAGACGCACUGUGUCCAGAGGACGGAAAACUCGAUGUUCUUUACAAUCAAUGCGCUUUACGAGACUAUGUCACUCCAUACCCAAAGCUAGAGCUCCUCUACUG